GACGAACGCUGGCGGCGUGCUUAACACAUGCAAGUCGAACGGAAAGGCCCUGCUUGCCGGGUACUCGAGUGGCGAACGGGUGAGUAACACGUGGGUGAUCUGCCCUGCACUUCGGGAUAAGCCUGGGAAACUGGGUCUAAUACCGGAUAGGAGCCAUUUUUAGUGUGAUGGUUGGAAAGUUUUUUCGGUGUAGGAUGAGCUCGCGGCCUAUCAGCUUGUUGGUGGGGUAAUGGCCUACCAAGGCGGCGACGGGUAGCCGGCCUGAGAGGGUGGACGGCCACAUUGGGACUGAGAUACGGCCCAGACUCCUACGGGAGGCAGAAGUGGGGAAUAUUGCACAAUGGGCGCAAGCCUGAUGCAGCGACGCCGCGGGGGGGAUGACGGCCUUCGGGUUGUAAACUCCUUUCGCUAGGGACGAAGCUUUUUGUGACGGUACCUAGAUAAGAAGCACCGGCUAACUACGUG
rnacentral:rRNA from 1 species